UACGUAGGCAGCAAGCGUUGUUCGGAGUUACUGGGCGUAAAGGGUGUGUAGGCGGUUGUUUAAGUUUGGUGUGAAAUCUCCCGGCUCAACUGGGAGGGUGCGCCGAAUACUGAAUGACUAGAGUGCGGGAGAGGAGAGUGGAAUUCCUGGUGUAGCGGUGAAAUGCGUAGAUAUCAGGAGGAACACCGGUGGUGUAGACGGCUCUCUGGACCGUAACUGACGCUGAGGAGCGAAAGCGUGGGGAGCGAACAGG
rnacentral:rRNA from 1 species